rnacentral:rRNA from 1 species
UACGUAGGGGGCAAGCGUUAUCCGGAAUUAUUGGGCGUAAAGAGCUCGUAGGCGGUGUGUCGCGUCGGCCGUGAAAACCUGCAGCUUAACUGUGGGCGUGCGGGCGAUACGGGCAGACUAGAGUACUGCAGGGGAGACUGGAAUUCCUGGUGUAGCGGUGGAAUGCGCAGAUAUCAGGAGGAACACCGGUGGCGAAGGCGGGUCUCUGGGCAGUAACUGACGCUGAGGAGCGAAAGCGUGGGGAGCGAACAGG